AAAAUGAUUAUAUUAUUAUUAUAUUUCUAUAGAGUUCAUAGUCAUAUGCGACAUACAAUACAUAUUGAGACAGUAUAGACACUGUUGAUACAUUGUUAUUUGCUACACGAAUGAUAAAAAUUCAGGAAGGCUUAGAUACACAAAGCGCGACAGCAAAUGUACACUGAACGCGCGCGUACAAGUGUACGAUUUUUUACACAAAGAACUGUAUGACGCGCGUCCUUAUGUUUCAGAGACACGCUUACUCUAAUUUCCCUUAACGUUGAUCGUCCGAGCUUUGUCGCGCUUUGUGUGUCGAAGCCUUAACAGAAAAAUACAUGCACAUACAUACUAAUAUGAAGUCAUUUUGAAUGUUUAUCUAUCUUAGCUUACACAUUGAAAACACUUACAUUUGAAAUACCUGUAUGAAUGCUUCAAACUUAUUCUUAUUUUUAAUAGUUUUUUUAGGAUUUUUACAUAUUAUUUUUAUUCAUAAUAAAUUAUACAGGCACACAACUUUAAAUAGGUUUGUUAAAAAUAUCCCGAUUUAGAAAGUACAUUUAGGCUUUGAAAAUUUAAAUAUCGUAUGUACAAGGGACAUCUAUUUUCAUUUCUCAUACUAAAGUCCGAUCGCUGAGCGCGACAAAAAACGUAGAAUACUGAAUAACCUUCAACACAGUAUGUCUCUGUCGCUCGCGCAUAUGGACUUAUUUCCGUCACGCUCACUCACGUAGGUGCAACACCGCGCCGUGAGCAUAGAUUGUGACUGGCACUAUCAGAUAGGUAAGCACAAAGAAUCAUUGCACGAAUUUUGUUGCACUUAACGGUCGUGCUUUUAAAAAAAAACUACUUUUUUUUUUGAAAAGCACUAGGCUAAGGACUAAUCCGGCGGAACUAAUUUGUCGUUUCUUCAACGUUUUAUCCGCUCUACCUUGUCAUACUAAAGUGCAAUUCCACGCGAAUUAUUAGCCCCUGCACUCAUCAUAUAAUUUUAUUACACUAAGGCCUCAUUUACACGAGAGCUUUUUUAAAGCGUCAAAAUAGAACCAAGUAUGUGUUCACACGUCAACGCUUUUUUACGUGUGAACAAUACUUGGGAAUGCAUUUGUUCUAUUUGGACGCUUUUUAACGGACGUUAAAAAAGCUCUCGUGUAAAUGAGGCCUUAAUUCAAAAAAAUAUUGAUACUAUUUUAAAAGUACAGAAAUAUUCUACAUACAGUUAUAUCUUACAGCAAAAAUAGUCUGAUACUGAGAUUAUAAACUAACGCUUCAUAAUAACAAGAUUAGGCUCGGAUCGAAGUACUAAAAUAUUAAUAAAUGCAAAACAAAUAGAAUCUUGAAACUAACAAAUUGUCCAAAUGUUGUAAAAAGCUUUCUCGGUACAAAUAUUUCUAUUUACCUAUAGAUUAAUUCAUAUUAAUAGUUUUAUUCAUGGAUAAAGCACAAAUAACUUAAGAUUAUGAUUUGUGCAUGCCCAAAACUAAUCGGA